rnacentral:rRNA from 1 species
GACGAACGCUGGCGGCGUGCUUAACACAUGCAAGUCGAGCGAAUGGAUUAAGAGCUUGCUCUUAUGAAGUUAGCGGCGGACGGGUGAGUAACACGUGGGUAACCUGCCCAUAAGACUGGGAUAACUCCGGGAAACCGGGGCUAAUACCGGAUAAUAUUUUGAACUGCAUGGUUCAAAAUUGAAAGGCGGCUUCGGCUGUCACUUAUGGAUGGACCCGCGUCGCAUUAGCUAGUUGGUGAGGUAACGGCUCACCAAGGCAACGAUGCGUAGCCGACCGGAGAGGGUGAUCGGCCAAACUGGGACUGAGACACGGCCCAGACUCCUACGGGGGGCAGCAGUAGGGAAUCUUCCGCAAUGGACGAAAGUCUGACGGAGCAACGCCGCGUGAGUGAUGAAGGCUUUCGGGUCGUAAAACUCUGUUGUUAGGGAAGAACAAGUGCUAGUUGAAUAAGCUGGCACCUUGACGGUACCUAACCAGAAAGCCACGGCUAACUACGUGCCAGCCGCCGCGGUAA